AGCCAACUGGUUGUCUAAGGCUGGGAAGGGGUUAAGAUGCCCCCGGAGCUUGCCGCGAGGGCAGCUGCCUCAGCGGGCACUCCGCCUGGAUGGGAAUAUAAGCACUCUUGGUGUUGCCCAGGCAGAGAGGGCAGUGUGGAGGGAAGUUGCUAGAAAAAGGCAGGGGACAUAAUCCAUACUGGCCUCUUUCCCAGGCACAUCACAGUGGCAGAAUUAUUUAUGAUUCUGACCCAAUGGGGAUCCCUCUACUUGGGGAGACUGCCAACCCACGCCCUCCUGAAUGGCAACGUCCUCCCACAGAGACAGAGGGGAACAAGUAGCAUUUAUGGAGCGGCACAGAGGAAAGAGUGUGGGCUUUGGAGACAGCACAGCAGCACUCACAUCCCGGCCCAGACACUUCCUGUGUGACCUUGAGCCAGUUGAUGAACCUGUCUGGGCCUCUGUUUCCUCAUCUGUUAUCGGCGAAAAUGUUUCGGAGGACACCUAUUGUAUAAUGUUGCUAUGCAGAUUAAAUGCACUAGCAGAGGCAAAGUGCAUAGCUUAGAGGAAGGAAGUACUCGCUAAGUGGUAGCUGGUGUGAUAGGUGGGCCAAGUCCUGGCAGGAGCUGGGCUUGCUGGCUGCCCUGUUUUGCUGAAACAGCAGCAUCACCAUCAGCAGCAACUGUGGAAAUAUAGACCCUUGAUAAAUACAGGUGAAUAAAAUGAAUGAUUAGAAACUGGACCUGCCACUCUGCAGAACCCAGGCACUGCUCCCCAGCAGCUGGUGCCUCAAAGCAGCUGCUAACAUGGCAGGAGACAGUCAGACCAGCAGUGAAUAGCUAUGCUUCGUAAGACUUCAUACACAAGGCAGGCGUGUGGACUGACCAGAAAGGUGGCAGUCACUGUCCAUCAAGAGAAUCCCCACCUGUUUUCCAAUAUGUCAGCCAGGAGGCUCGCACUCCCAAAAGGAAUGUUCUCAGCCAGCUCCCUGACUGUCCCCACCUCUGACAGUGGACUCUCUUGGGUCUCUCAAAAGGCUCCUCCUCCUCAGCCAUGGGGUGAAGGAAUCCUGUUUGCCGGGGAGGCGGGAUGCUGCCCAGGGUGGCUGUUUUGGGAGAGCGAGCAGGAUGAGAUAGUGCCUAUGAGUGAUCUUUGGAGAUGGAGGUGCUAUGGCCACCUGUGGGGACUGCCUGGGUGCCUCCUGGCCACUGUCAACUUCCUUGCUCACACUGAGAUUCUGUGAUUCUCCUCUGAGCAUUUCCAUGGAUAAUUUUUUUUUUUCAGAGACACUAUUAAAGAUUUUAAAAAUUG
rnacentral:lncRNA from 1 species